rnacentral:rRNA from 1 species
AUUGAACGCUGGCGGCAGGCUUAACACAUGCAAGUCGAGCGGGGGAAGGUAGCUUGCUACUGGACCUAGCGGCGGACGGGUGAGUAAUGCUUAGGAAUCUGCCUAUUAGUGGGGGACAACAUCUCGAAAGGGAUGCUAAUACCGCAUACGUCCUACGGGAGAAAGCAGGGGAGCUGCGGACCUUGCGCUAAUAGAUGAGCUCAAGUCGGAUUAGAUAGUUGGUGGGGUAAAGGCCUACCGAGGCGACGAGCUGUAGCGGGUCUGAGAGGAUGAUCCGCCACACUGGGACUGAGACACGGCCCAGACUCCUACGGGAGGCAGCAGUGGGGAAUAUUGGACAAUGGGGGGAACCCUGAUCCAGCCAUGCCGCGUGUGUGAAGGAGGCCUUAUGGUUGUAAAGCACUUUAAGCGAGGAGGAGGCUACUCUAGUUAAUACCUAGGGAUAGUGGACGUUACUCGCAGAAUAAGCACCGGCUAACUCUGUGCCAGCCGCCGCCGUAA